rnacentral:rRNA from 1 species
GGGGCGAAAGACUAAUCGAACCAUCUAGUAGCUGGUUCCCUCCGAAGUUUCCCUCAGGAUAGCUGGCGCUCUCGCAAACGCACAGACCCACGCAGUUUU